rnacentral:tRNA from 1 species
GGGCCUGUAGCUCAGUUGGUUAGAGCAGUGGACUCAUAAUCCAUUGGUCGGAGGUUCGAGUCCCUCCCGGGCCCACCA